GAUCCAAAAGGAGAUGGGGUUAUAUCAGCCUUAUCAACCAAAUGAUACGAGGAGUCUGGAAGGACUCCACUUUU
rnacentral:tmRNA from 1 species